GUUUAAUUACAGAUGGAGGUAAGAGCUGUGCAGAAGAGAAAGCUGGGCCUGAAAAUGCAUGUGACCUCGUCUAGGAUGGAGCCUUGGGGAAAUUCUCUGAGGAAGUGAUCACUGAGCUGACUGCUGAAGGCUGCACGGGAGACAACCAGGGGAAGAGAAAGAUGAAAAUCAUUCUGGCCAAAAUAACACCAACACUUACUGAGAGCUGACUAUGGAGCCGGCCCCUUUACACACAGUUUCUCACUGAAGCCUCAGAACAACCCUGCAGUGUAGGAUGUGGACAUCAUGGCCUCAGGCUCCGAAAGACUCAAAGAGCUAAGUAAGUUGCCUAAAGCCACACUAUGGGUAUUCAAACUCAGGUCUCUCUUACUUUAGAGACCACACCUUUAACCACCACUAUGCUGUGUUGCCUCUUCUGGAAAACUUCUUGAAAGACAAAUGUUUAUUCCUUAUUCAAUGCUUACCUCCUUUGCAGUCAACAUAUAAUGUAUGCAAACUGCCUUGCCAUCUUGGGGCCAGACUCAUAAGAGCCCUCAAUACAAGUUGGUUGUCUCAGUCCCCUUUACCCACCGCCAGUCCCUUACAGAAGGCCUUUUCUAGGCUCUGUUUACCUCUUUUCUCUAGGCAAUGGCACUGUGUUAAAUAUUAUAGUUACAGAAAUGACUCCAAAAUCUACUUCUUCAAACCCAAAUUCACCUCCAAGUUUUAGACCCACAUUUCCAACGACUUGGGUUUCUCCAUGGGAUGUCUCUCUAGUAUUUAAAACUAUGUUCCACGUAAAACACACCUCCUCUGUCCUCUCCUUUUCCCCCAAAAAAGAUUCUCUCGUUUCUGCCUUCCCUGGAAUUGGUGAGGUCACCAUGAUGUGCGUAAGUCCAGGCUGCAGGAAUCCUGAGGAGAGUUAGGACACACUUUCUUGGAACAUUAAUUUUACUCAGUGAGAAGUAAAGCACAUUAUUCCUCCCCCUAGACAUUCUCAGGGCUCACUCCCUGACCUUUGACAAUUUUUGAUAGAAUGUUACCUUUCCAAUGGUGCUGGCCAUCAUCUAACAUACACUCUUGGCUUUCCCAAUCUGUCUUAUCUUGAUCUAUUCUUUCUCUCUAGUACUUAACAUCU
rnacentral:lncRNA from 1 species